rnacentral:rRNA from 1 species
AGAGUGAACGCUGGCGGUAGGCCUAACACAUGCAAGUCGAACGGCAGCACAGGAGAGCUUGCUCUCUGGGUGGCGAGUGGCGGACGGGUGAGGAAUACAUCGGAAUCUACCUUUUCGUGGGGGAUAACGUAGGGAAACUUACGCUAAUACCGCAUAAGACCUUCGGGUGAAAGCCGGGGACCUUCGGGCCUGGCGCGGAUAGAUGAGCCGAUGUCGGAUUAGCUUGUUGG